rnacentral:rRNA from 1 species
GGAUCCAGACUUUGAUCAUGGCUCAGAUUGAACGCUGGCGGCAGGCCUAACACAUGCAAGUCGAGCGGAAACGGCAACAUUGACUCUUCGGAUGAUUUGUUGGACGUCGAGCGGCGGACGGGUGAGUAAUGCUUAGGAAUUUGCCCAGUCGAGGGGGAUAACUAUUGGAAACGAUAGCUAAUACCGCAUACGCCCUACGGGGGAAAAGAGGGGACCUUCGGGCCUUCUGCGAUUGGAUAAGCCUAAGUGAGAUUAGCUAGUUGGUGAGGUAAUGGCUCACCAAGGCGACGAUCUCUAGCUGGUCUGAGAGGAUGAUCAGCCACACUGGAACUGAGACACGGUCCAGACUCCUACGGGAGGCAGCAGUGGGGAAUAUUGCACAAUGGGCGCAAGCCUGAUGCAGCCAUGCCGCGUGUGUGAAGAAGGCCUUCGGGUUGUAAAGCACUUUCAGCAGUGAGGAAGGUGGUAGUGUUAAUAGCACUAUUAUUUGACGUUAGCUGCA